UAUGGAUGCAUUUAGUAGACGAAGAAACUAACAACAGAUUGAAAGCGACUUUUUGGCGGUAUACUACGCCAUUAAAAAUAUUCCACUUGAGUAGCAUUGAGCCAUGUAGUAAGUAAUAACUAGUUUUAUUAAAGCGAAAGAAGAUGUUUACGAUUAAACGGAUAACCAAAAAUAACGAUGACAUUUCAAUGAUUUUUUUUCCAGUUUGUAACCCAUUGAGUAAUUCUCGAUAAAUUAGAUUCCAUUUCUUCAAUAGAUUCACUAGGAAGCUCUACUACAAUCUUGGGGUCAAAACUCUCUCUUGCUUCUUCCAAACAAAUUUGCAUUAUUUCAGCUUCGUUGUUCUCCUGAAUCUUUUCAAGAGAAUAUCCCCUAGAUUCCAGUCUUUCCCAAAGCUUCGAAUGAUCGGUGCGCAAAACGACUACGAGAUCAAUUAGCUCCUCCGAAAAAAGGCCACAGGUAUGCCAGUCAAUGAUGCACCCUCCUUUCAACAAUUUCGGCUCAAGAUAAUCUAGCACCUUAUCCUCGUCAACAUCAUAGGUUUUCCAUUUCUCAUCAAAUCCAAAGUGUAAAUGGUUCUCUUUAACAACAUCGCCAAUGCAUAUAUUUUCCAG